rnacentral:lncRNA from 1 species
UGACAUUCAUACCUAAACAUUGGGUUCAAGCAAUGAAGUAAUUGCACUUAGCAUAUGCAGCAUUAUAGAUAUAGCAGCUUCUCUAAAUUUUCAAGUCAAAGUAGUUUCACCUGUGAGAUAAUGAUGUUGAAAAGUUAACAAGACAUGUUAACAAAGACUUGUAUAAGGCUUUAGGUCCUUAAUUCCGUUCAAGAAAACAUGACAAUGCCCUUGCAACGGCUGGCAAUAUAUAAUCCAUAAUCUAGUACCUAAUCUUGGUUAGCUUGUCAGUCUGACUUGGCAUGCGCCAAGGAUGGAGCUUUAGCUUGUUGCUUUGGAAUUGAUUCAGUUUCCAGAAAGCUUUGU